UACGUAGGGUGCGAGCGUUAAUCGGAAUUACUGGGCGUAAAGCGUGCGCAGGCGGCUUGCUAAGUCAGAUGUGAAAGCCCCGGGCUUAACCUGGGAACGGCGUUUGAAACUGGCAGGCUAGAGUUUGGCAGAGGGGGGUGGAAUUCCACGUGUAGCAGUGAAAUGCGUAGAGAUGUGGAGGAACACCGAUGGCGAAGGCAGCCCCCUGGGCCAAAACUGACGCUCAGGCACGAAAGCGUGGGGAGCAAACAGG
rnacentral:rRNA from 1 species